GGGCCCGUAGCUCAAUGGUCAGAGCAGCAGACUCAUAAUCUGUAGGUUCCUGGUUCGAAUCCGGGCGGGCCUA
rnacentral:tRNA from 1 species